ACGAACGCUGGCGGCGUGCCUAAUACAUGCAAGUAGAACGCUGAAGGCGGAGCUUGCUUCUCUGGAUGAGUUGCGAACGGGUGAGUAACGCGUAGGUAACCUGCCUGGUAGCGGGGGAUAACUAUUGGAAACGAUAGCUAAUACCGCAUAAGAGUAGAUGUUGCAUGACAUUUGCUUAAAAGGUGCAAUUGCAUCACUACCAGAUGGACCUGCGUUGUAUUAGCUAGUUGGUGGGGUAACGGCUUACCAAGGCGACGAUACAUAGCCGACCUGAGAGGGUGAUCGGCCACACUGGGACUGAGACACGGCCCAGACUCCUACGGGAGGCAGCAGUAGGGAAUCUUCGGCAAUGGACGGAAGUCUGACCGAGCAACGCCGCGUGAGUGAAGAAGGUUGUCGGAUCGUAAAGCUCUGUUGUAAGAGAAGAACGAGUGUGAGAGUGGAAAGUUCACACUGUGACGGUAACUGACCAGAAAGGGACGGCUAACUACGUG
rnacentral:rRNA from 1 species